rnacentral:rRNA from 1 species
CCCAGACUCCUACGGGAGGCAGCAGUGGGGAAUAUUGCACAAUGGGGGAAACCCUGAUGCAGCGACGCCGCGUGAGUGAAGAAGUAUUUCGGUAUGUAAAGCUCUAUCAGCAGGAAAGAAAAUGACGGUACCUGACUAAGAAGCCCCGGCUAACUACGUGCCAGCAGCCGCGGUGAUACGUAGGUGGCAAGCGUUGUCCGGAUUUACUGGGCGUAAAGGGCGCGUAGGUGGGCGCUUAAGUCAGGUGUGAAAACUCCGGGCUCAACCUGGAGACUGCACUUGAAACUGGGUGUCUUGAGGGCAGGAGAGGAAAGUGGAAUUCCUAGUGUAGCGGUGAAAUGCGUAGAUAUUAGGAGGAACACCAGUGGCGAAGGCGACUUUCUGGACUGUACCCGACGCUGAGGCGCGAAAGUGUGGGGAGCAAACAGGAUUAGAUACCCCGGUAUA